rnacentral:rRNA from 1 species
UACGUAGGGACCAAGCGUUGUCCGGAAUCAUUGGGCGUAAAGAGCUCGUAGGCGGUGUGUCGCGUCGGCCGUGAAAACCUGCAGCUUAACUGUGGGCUUGCGGUCGAUACGGGCAUCACUGGAGUUCGGCAGGGGAGACUGGAAUUCCUGGUGUAGCGGUGAAAUGCGCAGAUAUCAGGAGGAACACCGGUGGCGAAGGCGGGUCUCUGGGCCGAUACUGACGCUGAGGAGCGAAAGCGUGGGGAGCGAACAGG